GAAAGAAGGUCAGUCAUAGCUG
rnacentral:siRNA from 1 species